CCUACGGGAGGCAGCAGUGAGGAAUAUUGGUCAAUGGGCGCAAGCCUGAACCAGCCACGUAGCGUGAAGGAUGACUGCCCUACGGGUGGUAAACUUCUUUUAUAAAGGCAUAAAGUGAGGCACGUGUGCCUUUUUGUAUGUCCUUUAUGAAUAAGGAUCGGCUAACUCCGUGCCAGCAGCCGCGGUAAGACGGAGGAUCCGAGCGUUAUCCGGAUUGAUUGGGUUUAAAGGGAGCGUAGAUGGGUUGUUAAGUCAGUUGUGAAAGUUUGCGGCUCAACCGUAAAAUUGCAAUUGAUACUGGCAGUCUUGAGUACAGUUGAGGUAGGCGGAAUUCGUGGUGUAGCGGUGAAAGGCUUAGAUAUCACGAAGAACUCCGAUUGCGAAGGCAGCUUACUAAACUGCCACUGACAUUGAUGCUCGAAAGUGUGGGUAUCAAACAGGAUUAGAUACCCGUGUAGUC
rnacentral:rRNA from 1 species